GACGAACGCGGCGGCGUGCCUAAUACAUGCAAGUAGAACGCUGAAGGAGGAGCUUGCUUCUCUGGAUGAGUUGCGAACGGGUGAGUAACGCGUAGGUAACCUGCCUGGUAGCGGGGGAUAACUAUUGGAAACGAUAGCUAAUACCGCAUAAUAGCAGUUAUUGCAUGAUAACUGUUUGAAAGGUGCAAUUGCACCACUACCAGAUGGACCUGCGUUGUAUUAGCUAGUUGGUGGGGUAACGGCUCACCAAGGCGACGAUACAUAGCCGACCUGAGAGGGUGAUCGGCCACACUGGGACUGAGACACGGCCCAGACUCCUACGGGAGGCAGCAGUAGGGAAUCUUCGGCAAUGGACGGAAGUCUGACCGAGCAACGCCGCGUGAGUGAAGAAGGUUUUCGGAUCGUAAAGCUCUGUUGUAAGAGAAGAACGAGUGUGAGAAGUGGAAAAGUUUCACAACUGUGAACGG
rnacentral:rRNA from 1 species